rnacentral:rRNA from 1 species
AGCGAACGCUGGCGGCAGGCUUAACACAUGCAAGUCGAGCGGGCGUAGCAAUACGUCAGCGGCAGACGGGUGAGUAACGCGUGGGAACGUACCUUUUGGUUCGGAACAACACAGGGAAACUUGUGCUAAUACCGGAUAAGCCCUUACGGGGAAAGAUUUAUCGCCGAAAGAUCGGCCCGCGUCUGAUUAGCUAGUUGGUGCGGUAAUGGCUCACCAAGGCGACGAUCAGUAGCUGGUCUGAGAGGAUGAUCAGCCACAUUGGGACUGAGACACGGCCCAAACUCCUACGGGAGGCAGCAGUGGGGAAUAUUGGACAAUGGGGGCAACCCUGAUCCAGCCAUGCCGCGUGAGUGAUGAAGGCCCUAGGGUUGUAAAGCUCUUUUGUGCGGGAAGAUAAUGACGGUACCGCAAGAAUAAGCCCCGGCUAACUUCGUGCCAGCAGCCGCAGUAAGAC